AUUGAACGCUGGCGGCAGGCCUAACACAUGCAAGUCGAGCGGAUGAAGGGAGCUUGCUCCUGGAUUCAGCGGCGGACGGGUGAGUAAUGCCUAGGAAUCUGCCUGGUAGUGGGGGAUAACGUCCGGAAACGGGCGCUAAUACCGCAUACGUCCUGAGGGAGAAAGUGGGGGAUCUUCGGACCUCACGCUAUCAGAUGAGCCUAGGUCGGAUUAGCUAGUUGGUGGGGUAAAGGCCUACCAAGGCGACGAUCCGUAACUGGUCUGAGAGGAUGAUCAGACACACUGGAACUGAGACACGGUCCAGACUCCUACGGGAGGCAGCAGUGGGGAAUAUUGGACAGUGGGCGAAAGCCUGAUCCAGCCAUGCCGCGUGUGUGAAGAAGGUCUUCGGAUUGUAAAGCACUUUAAGUUGGGAGGAAGGGCAGUAAGUUAAUACCUUGCUGUUUUGACGUUACCAACAGAAUAAGCACCGGCUAACUUCGUG
rnacentral:rRNA from 1 species